rnacentral:misc_RNA from 1 species
GGGUAUAGAGCACGACCAACUGCGAAAGGUGUUCUGUUAGUAAGGGAGAGAAUACGAGAUUCGAUGGUGGCAUUGCUAUAGAGAAGCAAGUCGGAGGAAUUAAAGCCAUUGAAGACAAAAUCAAUAGCUGAUACGGACAAACAAGAAAGGAUAAUCUGAGGCAGAAACAAAAGAAGAGGAGGCUUCAUUUUGCUAGUUUGCUACCACGGGAGCAGAAGAAGCCUCUGUUUCAUGGGAUACCUUAGGUAGAUCUAAAUAGAUAUGGC